rnacentral:rRNA from 1 species
AGCGAACGCUGGCGGCAGGCUUAACACAUGCAAGUCGAGCGGACGUAGCAAUACGUCAGCGGCAGACGGGUGAGUAACGCGUGGGAACGUACCUUUUGGUUCGGAACAACACAGGGAAACUUGUGCUAAUACCGAAUAAGCCCUUACGGGGAAAGAUUUAUCGCCGAAAGAUCGGCCCGCGUCUGAUUAGCUAGUUGGUGGGGUAACGGCCCACCAAGGCGACGAUCAGUAGCUGGUCUGAGAGGAUGAUCAGCCACAUUGGGACUGAGACACGGCCCAAACUCCUACGGGAGGCAGCAGUGGGGAAUAUUGGACAAUGGGCGCAAGCCUGAUCCAGCCAUGCCGCGUGAGUGAUGAAGGCCCUAGGGUUGUAAAGCUCUUUUGUGCGGGAAGAUAAUGACGGUACCGCAAGAAUAAGCCCCGGCAAACUUCGUGCCAGCAGCCGCCGCAGUAA